rnacentral:rRNA from 1 species
AUUGAACGCUGGCGGCACGCCUUACACAUGCAAGUCGAACGGCAGCACGGGAGCAAUCCUGGUGGCGAGUGGCGAACGGGUGAGUAAUAUAUCGGAACGUGCCCAGUCGUGGGGAUAACGUAGCGAAAGCUACGCUAAUACCGCAUACGAUCUAUGGAUGAAAGCGGGGGAUCGCAAGACCUCGCGCGAUUGGAGCGGCCGAUAUCAGAUUAGGUAGUUGGUGAGGUAAAGGCUCACCAAGCCGACGAUCUGUAGCUGGUCUGAGAGGACGACCAGCCACACUGGGACUGAGACACGGCCCAGACUCCUACGGGAGGCAGCAGUGGGGAAUUUUUGGACAAUGGGCGCAAGCCUGAUCCAGCAAUGCCGCGUGAGUGAUGAAGGCCUUAGGUUGUAAAGCUCUUUGUCCGGAAGAUAAUGACUGUACCGGUAGAAUAAG